GUUCCUCGCGGCCUUGCAGGUGCUCAGGCCGGGAGCAGGCCUGUGCUGUCAUCGAGGGGCGCCCCUAGGUGCGGUGGGACUAACUCCACCUCCGCCGGGGUCGAGGGUCAAGGGUGGGGGCUAGGGCCAACCCACUGAGAAGCAGCACAAGGACGCUGCAGUGAAGGGGAAAAGGGAGUCGGCCGCGCGGGAUCCCAAGCUAACGCCAGGUAAGCCACGCACCGCCCCCGCCUCACCCCACCACCUCCCGACGACGACGCUUAGGGUCAGGCCUGCGGAAAGCGGGAC
rnacentral:lncRNA from 1 species